UUUAACCUACGGGAGGCAGCAGUGGGGGAUAUUGGUCAAUGGGGGGAACCCUGAUCCAGCGACGCCGCGUGAGUGAAGAAGUAUUUCGGUAUGUAAAGCUCUGUCAGCAGGGAAGAAAGAAAUGACGGUACCUGACCAAGAAGCCCCGGCUAACUACGUGCCAGCAGCCGCGGUAAUACGUAGGGGGCAAGCGUUAUCCGGAAUUACUGGGUGUAAAGGGAGCGUAGACGGUUAAGUAAGUCUGGAGUGAAAGGCCGGGGCCCAACCCCGGGACUGCUUUGGAACCUAUUGAACUUGAUUGCAGG
rnacentral:rRNA from 1 species